rnacentral:rRNA from 1 species
GAUCAUGGCUCAGGAUAAACGCUAGCGGCAGGCCUAACACAUGCAAGUCGAGGGGCAUCGGAUAGAGUACUUCGGUACUCUUGCCGGCGACCGGCGGACGGGUGCGUAACGCGUAUGCAACCUACCUUCAACAGGGGGAUAAUCCGAAGAAAUUUGGUCUAAUACCCCAUAAUAUUCCGACAGGCAUCUGUCGGAGUUGAAAGCUUCGGUGGUUGGAGAUGGGCAUGCGUUGUAUUAGCUAGAUGG